AUACUUACCUAGCAGGGGAGACACCAUGAUCAGGAAGGUGGUUUGCCCAGGGUGAGGCAUAUCCACUGCACUCUGGGUUUGUUGACCUCUGCGAUUUCUCCAAAUGCAGGAAACUUGACUGCAUUAUUUGUGGUAGAGAAAAUAGUAGUAGUAGUAGUA
rnacentral:snRNA from 1 species